rnacentral:snRNA from 1 species
GUAUAUUUGGAGACAUCCGAUAAAAUUAGAAUGAUACAAAGAAGAUUAGCAUGGCCCCUGCGCAAGAAUGACACGCACAAAUCAAAAAAUGAUCCAAAUUUUC